AUGACUGAGAAUUGGAAUCACACAGCUCUUCUAGUAAUUGACAUGCAGAAAGAUUUUAUAGAUGAUGAGAGUCCUGUAAGAACAAAAGGAGGGAAAGACAUUGUUCCAAACGUGAUUAAGGCUGUGGAAGUUGCUAGACAGCGUGGAAUUCUCAUUGUUUGGGUAGUACGGGAACACGAUCCCUUGGGAAGAGAUGUUGAACUCUUUCGCCGUCAUCAAUAUACAGCAGGUAAAGUUGGUCCUUCCUCUAUAGGAAGCAAAGGUGCAGAGUUAGUUGAUGGACUGGUUGUUAGAGAAGGAGAUUAUAAACUUGUCAAGACAAGGUUUAGUGCGUUCUUUUCUACACACCUUCAUUCAGUCCUUCAAGGAGCAGGUAUAAAUACAUUGGUAGUCACUGGUGUUCAAACUCCAAACUGUAUAAGGCAAACUGUGUUUGAUGCUGUAGCAUUGGACUAUCAACAUGUGACUGUUCUUGUUGACGCUACUGCAGCAGCCACACCUGAUAUUCAUCUUGCCAAUGUGUUUGACAUGAAAAAUAUUGGAGUUGCAACACCAACAUUGCAAGAAUGGAGUGAAUCCAAAGCUUGAUAUGUAUGAUGGACCAUGCAUUAUGCAACUUUUUGGGUAUUCAAUUUCAAGAUUCAAAUGCAUUGAUAUCUUGUGAUUAGCUAUAGGUGUGUUGUUUCAACAUCAAAAUGUGGACUUCUUCAACAUUGAUGAUUAUGCUGUUUUCAUGAACAACUUUGUCGAAUAAAUCAUCACUAGAAUCAGUAGGAACAUGAGUUUUUCAUCUCACGAGUCCUUUUUUUUCACUUUGUAUUUUAAUACAAUUGAGUUUAUAUGAUCAUUAUUCAUUUUAAAAUUAAUAGCUAAUUUCAAAUUUAGAUAUGUAUCUAAAUACAUUUUAUAUCGUAUCAAAUAAAUUUACCUGUACGACCGCACGAGUAUCUAGCUAGUUGAUUAAUUAUAAUCACUAUAUAUAAAAUGAGUAUAAUAUAAUACUAUGUAAUAUUGUUGCUUCAUAAUAAAGACAUGUAUGUUGUCAGACCUGUGUCGAUGUCUUGAGCGUUGUGGCUUCAUACAAUCGAUUCAAUUUUUUCAAGUUUAGUAUCAAUGUGUGAGCAUUAAUUUUAGUGUUUUGUCUCAUAUCGGUGUUUUAUAGGUGCUAUCAAUCAUUGAAUAACCAAGAAUAUAUAUUAUAUAUAUGCAAUGCAUAACUUAUCAUGAAUCAUGUUGAAAUAUUAACUUUUUGAAAUUUUCACUUUAGUCUCCUCAAUUUAGAAGAACCAAUAAUUGUGUUGCGCGAGUAUUCAAAUUUCAAGAAGUCAAGAAUCAAAACAAGUGAGAUUUAUAAAGUCCGAUUGUUCUCCAUUUUUUAUCUGUCUUCUCUAUUUCAUCAAAAAGGCGCAAAUUGUUGUUGUCUGCAUUAAUUAACGCCACAACAAUAUCAAGACAUGAUUGUAGACCACUAAACCUCAUCAGUUGCACAUAUUUAACAAAACAGUUCUUCAAUAUCUGAAUUGUAUCUAUCUCAAAUUAUUUUAGGUGGUACGUGAAUAUGAUCCCUUGGGAAGAGAUGUUGAACUCUUUCGCCGACAUCUAUAUAUAUAAUAGAGAAAGUUGGUCCGAUUGCUAAAGGAAGGGAAGGGGGUUUUAAACUUAUGAAGACAAGGUUUAGUAUAUUCUUUGUUGAAAUAAAAUUGGUUUGUAUCAUAUGUCUAAUAAGGUUUAGUGUAUUCUUUGUUG